CGGUAGCUCAGCUGGAUAGAGCAUCUGCCUUCUAAGCAGAGGGUCGUGGGUUCGAGUCCCGCCCGG
rnacentral:tRNA from 1 species